rnacentral:ncRNA from 1 species
GGCCGGGGGUGGGCGAAUACAACACCUUCGGGGAAUAACCCCGGUGCUCCUACAGCACUUUUGAGCCCCUGGCCGCCUGCGC